UACGUAGGGGGCGAGCGUUGUCCGGAGUACUGGGCGUAAAGCGCACGCAGGCGGUCUGCUAAGUUUGGAGUGACAGUUGGUGGCUUAACUGCCAAAGUGCUUCGAAAACUGACAGACUUGAGGGCUUCAGAGGGACACGGAAUUCCGGGUGGAGUGGUGGAAAUGCGCAGAUAUCAGGAGGAACACCGGUGGCGAAGGCGGGUCUCUGGGCCGAUACUGACGCUGAGGAGCGAAAGCGUGGGGAGCGAACAGG
rnacentral:rRNA from 1 species